UUUUGAUACGAGUUUUAAUACAAGUUGUACUACAAGUUUUGAUACAAGUUUGAUACAAGUUUUAUGUAAUAUAAGAGAAUCAUAAAAAGGAAUAAUAAUGCAGUUACCUAAUAGUGAAAGCAGUUAAUCAGACCGAUAUUACAACUUGUUCGAGAUUACAGUUGUGGCAACGAGAGUUGUAGCCACCAGAGUACAACAAGAUUUUAUAGUAGCAGCAAAAGAGAAGAAAAGGAAACAACUUCGAGUUCAGAGAAACAAAGCAAAAGAGAUAACUAUCUAAAGAAGCAAAGAGAGAUACUUAAACUGAAACACAAGAACCCGUGACUUGGCUCACAUGCGGUACUACAACUUUCACAACUCCGUGACUUCGUCCUUUUGAGUUACUGCUGAACAUGAAACAACACAAAUGAUGAGAGUUAGUAUAAAGCAGAAAAGGACAACGCACAAAAGCAGACCGCACAUGUAACAAAAGCAAUACGCACAUGUAACUAAAGCAACUACCCAAUACACACAUUAAAACCUUACUAUCAUCCUAACAUCUCAGCCAUAAGUUUCAGUUUUAGAGAUGACUCCAUCUCAGAGAGAGGAUCUUUCUUGGCAAGUAAACGAUCCAGAAUUUUCUGCUUUUGAAGUUUAUCCUUCUUCUCUAAUAUGGCCUGUAGCUGUGACAUCUCUUCUUCCUUGCCAUUCUUCUUCCUCUUCCCAGCAGCUUUAGCAGCUUUGACACCCAUUGGUCUAGCCUCAGGUUCUCCAACUUCAUCUUCUCUAUCAACGUCCACAACAUGUUUUCGCUUGUCUUUCCCACCGUCUUUAGAAACAUGGGUUGAGCACCAUUUCUGGUCAUUCCUC
rnacentral:lncRNA from 1 species